GAUGAAAGAACGUAGCGAAAUGCGAUAAGUAGUGUGAAUUGCAGAAUUCAGUGAAUCAUCGAAUCUUUGAACGCACAUUGCGCCCCUUGGUAUCCCGAGGGGCAUGCCUGUUCGAGCGUCAUUUCACCACUCAAGCCUGGCUUGGUGUUGGGCGACGUCCUCUUUGGGGACGCGCCUCGAAACGCUCGGCGGCGUGGCACCGGCUUUAAGCGUAGCAGAAUCUUUCGCUUUGGAAGUCGGGGCCCCGUCUGCCGGAAGACCUGCUCGCAAGGUUGACCUCGGAUCAGGCAGGGAUACCCGCUGAACUUAAGCAUAUCAAUAAGCGGAGGA
rnacentral:misc_RNA from 1 species